rnacentral:snoRNA from 2 species
AUCCUUUUGUAGUUCAUAAGUGUGAUGAUUGGGUGUUCAUGUGCAGCUGUGUGAUGUGCCGCCCUUGAACCUUGUUACGAGUUUGGCACAUUACCUGUUUAACG